GUCCAGCUGACUAGUCCCAAAUAGGACGAAACGCCUUUUAACCUGGAU
rnacentral:hammerhead_ribozyme from 1 species